GAUGAAGAACGUAGUGAAAUGCGAUAAGUAAUGUGAAUUGCAGAAUCUCGUGAAUCAUUGAAUCUUUGAACGCACAUUGCGCCCUAUGGUAUUCCGUAGGGCAUGCCUGUCUGAGCGUUAGCUCACACCCCUCAAACUACUUUAUUGUUGGUUUGGAUGACUUUGGGAAAGCAUUAUAAAAAAAAAAAAAUUUUUUUUUCUUAUGCCUCUCAGAAAUCUAUAGGCGGUACGGUUCCAACAAAACCAGAACGUAGUAAUUAAUUUUUAUAUCGUUCGUUUAUAUUUUGGAGGAGCUGUUGGCUUGCCUUUUGAACCCACAUAUUUAUUCUUAGGAAUAACCUCAGAUCAGGUAGGGAUACCCGCUGAACUUAAGCAUAUCAAUAAGCGGAGGA
rnacentral:misc_RNA from 1 species